UGGGGAAUAUUGGACAAUGGACCAAAAGUCUGAUCCAGCAAUUCUGUGUGCACGAUGAAGGUCUUCGGAUUGUAAAGUGCUUUCAGGUGGGAAGAAGAAAGUGACGGUACCACCAGAAGAAGCGACGGCUAAAUACGUGCCAGCAGCCGCGGUAAUACGUAUGUCGCAAGCGUUAUCCGGAWUUAUUGGGCGUAAAGCGAGUCUAGGCGGCUUGUUAAGUCAGAUGUGAAAAUGCGGGGCUCAACUCCGUAUUGCGUUUGAAACUGGCAGGCUAGAGUACUGGAGAGGUGGGCGGAACUACAAGUGUAGACGGUGAAAUUCGUAGAUAUUUGUAGGAAU
rnacentral:rRNA from 1 species